UACGUAGGGUGCGAGCGUUGUCCGGAAUUAUUGGGCGUAAAGGGCUCGUAGGCGGUUUGUCGCGUCGGGAGUGAAAACCCAGGGCUUAACUCUGGGCUUGCUUUCGAUACGGGCAGACUAGAGGUAUGCAGGGGAGAACGGAAUUCCUGGUGUAGCGGUGAAAUGCGCAGAUAUCAGGAGGAACACCGGUGGCGAAGGCGGUUCUCUGGGCAUUACCUGACGCUGAGGAGCGAAAGCUGGGGGAGCAAACAGG
rnacentral:rRNA from 1 species